rnacentral:rRNA from 1 species
GGCUCCGCCCGGGGAUGGGCCCGCGUCCCAUUAGGUAGUUGGUAGGGUAAAGGCGUACCAAGCCAGAGAUGGGUAGCCGGCCUGAGAGGGUGAACGGCCACACUGGGACUGAGAUACGGCCCAGACUCCUACGGGAGGCAGCAGCUAAGAAUAUUCCGCAAUGGCCGAAAGGCUGACGGAGCGACGCCGCGUGGAUGAGGAAGGCCGAAAGGUUGUAAAAUCCUUUUAUUGCGGAGGAAUAAGCGGGGGAGGGAAUGCCCCCGUGAUGACGUUAAGCAAUGAAUAAGCCCCGGCUAAUUACGUGCCAGCAGCCGCGGUAACACGUAAGGGGCGAGCGUUGUUCGGAAUUAUUGGGCGUAAAGGGCGCGUAGGCGGUUAUGUAAGCCUGGCGUGAAAUACUCUGGCUUAACCAGAGAACGGCGCUGGGAACUGGAUGACUAGAGUCAUGGAGGGGGAGUUGGAAUUCCAGGUGUAGGGGUGAAAUCUGUAGAUAUCUGGAAGAACACCGGUGGCGAAGGCGAAC